GUGGAUUAGAUACCCUGGUAGUCCACGCCGUAAACGAUGGAUGCUAGAUGUUUCUGGUAUUGACCCCGGAGGCGUCGUAGCUAACGCGUUAAGCAUCCCGCCUGGGGAGUACGGCCGCAAGGCUAAAACUCAAAGGAAUUGACGGGGGCCCGCACAAGCGGUGGAGCAUGUGGUUCAAUUCGACGCAACGCGAAGAACCUUACCUGGGUUGGAACCCCCCGGAACCUUCCAGAGAUGGAGGGGUGCCCGCAAGGGAACCGGGUGUCCAGGUGCUGCACGGCUGUCGUCAGCU
rnacentral:rRNA from 1 species